UACGUAGGGACCAAGCGUUGUUCGGAUUUACUGGGCGUAAAGGGCGCGUAGGCGGCGUGUUAAGUCACUUGUGAAAUCUCUAAGCUUAACUUAGAACGGUCAAGUGAUACUGACGUGCUAGAGUGCAGAAGGGGCAACCGGAAUUCUUGGUGUAGACGGUGAAAUGCGUAGAUAUCAAGAGGAACACCUGAGGUGAAGACGGGUUGCUGGGCUGACACUGACGCUGAGGCGCGAAAGCUAGGGGAGCAAACGGG
rnacentral:rRNA from 1 species